CCAGAAAAUCACAUUGUAGGAUUUUUAAUGAAUUUAUUUGCAAAUUAUGGUGGAAAAUAAGUAUUUGGUCACCUACAAACAAGCAAGAUUUCUGGCUCUCACAGACCUGUAACUUCUUCUUUAAGGGGCUCCUCUGUCCUCCACUCGUUACCUGUAUUAAUGGCACCUGUUUGAACUUGUUAUCAGUAUAAAAGACACCUGUCCACAACCUCAAACAGUCACACUCCAAACUCCACUAUGGCCAAGACCAAAGAGCUGUCAAAGGACACCAGAAACAAAAUUGUAGACCUGCACCAGGCUGGGAAGACUGAAUAUGCAAUAGGUAAGCAGCUUGGUUUGAAGAAAUCAACUGUGGAAGCAAUUAUUAGGAAAUGGAAGACAUACAAGACCACUGAUAAUCUCCCUCGAUCUGGGGCUCCCCGCAAGAUCUCACCCCGUGGGGUCAAAAUGAUCACAAGAACGGUGAGCAAAAAUCCCAGAACCACACGGGGGGACCUAGUGAAUGACCUGCAGAGAGCUGGGACCAAAGUAACAAAGCCUACCAUCAGCAAGGGCAUUGAAGAUGAAACGUGGCUGGGUCUUUCAGCAUGACAAUGAUCCCAAACACACCGCCCGGGUAACGAAGGAGUGGCUUCGUAAGAAACAUUUCAAGGUCCUGGAGUGGCUUAGCCAGUCUCCAGAUCUCAACCCCAUAGAAAUUCUUUGGAGGGAGUUGAAAGUCUGUGUUGCCCAGCAACAGCCCCAAAACAUUACUGCUCUAUAGGAAAUCUGCAUGGAGGAAUGGGCCAAAAUACCAGCAAACAGUGUGUGAAAAUCUUGUGAAGACUUAUAGAAAACGUUUGACCUCUGUCAUUGCCAACAAAGGGUAUAUAACAAAGUAUUGAGAAACUUUUGUUAUUGACCAAAUACUUAUUUUCCACCAUAAUUUGCAAAUAAAUAAAUUAAAAAUCCUACAAUGUGAUUUUCUGGAUUUUUUUUCUUCUCAUUUUGUCUGUCAUAGUUGAAGUGUACCUAUGAUGAAAAUUACAGGCCUCUCAUCUUUUUAAGUGGGAGAACUUGCACAAUUGGUGGUUAACUAAAUACUUUUUUGCCCCACUGUAAAUGCAUCUGUUGGUCACAGAUGCCUUUAAAAAACUUGAAAAAAAAAAAGGCGUGGGUCAGAAAACCAGUCAGUAUCUGAUAUGAUAUGACCACCAUUUGCCUCAUGCAGCGCGAUACAUCUCCAUUGCAUAGAGUUGAUUGUGGAAUGUUGUCCCACUCUUCUUCAAUGGCUGUGCGACGUUGCUGGAUAUUGGCGGAAACUGGAACACGCUGUCGUACACGUCAGUCAAGAGCAUCCCAUACAUGCUCAAUGGGUGACAUGUCUGGUGAGCAUGCAGGCCAGAAGAACUGGGACAUUUUCAGCUUCCAGGAAAUGUGUACAGAUCCUUUCGGGAAUGAGGGGCUGUGCAUUAUCAUGCCGUAACAUGAGGUCUUGUCACGGUAUCUCCGUGCAUUCAAAUUGUGACGACCCUCCCACUCUGUCUGCUAUAUUCUUUCUCUUUGCUCUUGUUUUACUUAUUAGCAUGUUCGGCAGGAGGUGCUGGGUGGGUCGUCAGCGACAUGGGAACACACCUGGUCCCGUGAUAAAUACACCUCUUCCCCAUUCAUUGUGGAGACUCUCCAUGCAGACACACUGUUAGAUUUUGGUUAUGGCAUUUUUGUGGCUGUUUUGUUUGUUUACUUUGGCACCUUUCAACACCCAUCAUAAUCACAUUUUUAUAUACGCAACCACUCACUUACACUACUGAUUACAGACUACACACACCAUUGUUAAUUGUAUUUACGUUACCGCUGAUAAUAAAUAUAUUUUUGUUAUUCCUAAUCUCCACGUUGUCUCCCUUUUUUGUUACGGACUUCGAGACGGUUCGUGACAAGUGGGGGCUCAUCCGGGAUCUUGAAGGUUGCUUCCUGUGCGCAAAGGUUGCUGAGGUCUGGGGAGGACGAGGUUGGCUGGGGCAAGUGGAAGUGUGAACACAUGGCUUUGGGAUGCUGGUUGGGUCAAUUUGGGAUGCAGGCUGGGUCUUCUGCUAGUAUCCAGGGCAGUAUUUUGUUUGUGUGACGACCCUCCCACUCUGUCUGCCGUAUUCUUUCUCUUUGCUCUUGUUUCCCCUAUUAGGAUGUUCGGCGGGAGGAGCUGGGAGACAUGAGACACACCUCGGCCCGGGUGUGUCCUGGGAUAAAUACACCUCUUCCCCAUUCAUUGAGGAGACUCUCUCCAUGCAUGGCAUUUUUGUGGCCAUUUGGUUUGUUUGCUUUUGCACCUUUUUCUUCUUUUUUUUGUUCUUUUUUUGUUGAAUUUUGACCCCUUUUUCUCCCCAAUUUCGUGGUAUCCAAUUGUCGUAGUAGCUACUAUCUUGUCUCAUCGCUACAAGGUUGAAAGUCAUGCGUCCUCCGAUACACAACCCAACCAAGCCGCACUGCUUCUUAACACAGUGCGCAUCCAACCCGGAAGCCAGCCGCACCAAUGUGCCGGAGGAAACACCUUGCACCUGGCCACCUUGGCUAGCGCACUGUACAGCGCUCUUAACCACUGCGCCACCCGGGAGGCCUCUUUUGCACAUUUUCAACACUCAUCAUUAUCACAUUUGUGCACGCAACCACUCACUUACACCUACAGAUUACUGACUACACACACCAUUGUUAAUUGUAUUUACGUUACCUCAGUUAAUAAAUAUAUUUUUGUUAAUCCUAA